CACGUAGGGUGCGAGCGUUGUCCGGAAUUAUUGGGCGUAAAGAGCUCGUAGGCGGUCUGUUACGUCUGCUGUGAAAACCCAGGGCUUAACCCUGGGCUUGCAGUGGAUACGGGCAGACUAGAGGCAGGUAGGGGAGAAUGGAAUUCCCGGUGUAGCGGUGAAAUGCGCAGAUAUCGGGAGGAACACCGGUGGCGAAGGCGGUUCUCUGGGCCUGACCUGACGCUGAGGAGCGAAAGCGUGGGGAGCGAACAGG
rnacentral:rRNA from 1 species